AGUUCCAGGGUAUCCAACACCCUCAUACAAACAUCCAUGCAGGCAAAAACACAAUGCAUAAGAAUAAAAAAAAAAUAAAUGACUAAAAAAAAUAAUUAGGGCCAUUUUGAAAUUUCAUUUAUAUUAACUUGGGUCCUUAAAAACAAUGCUGGGGGAACAAUCCUCUUUUAGGAUUACCGGUGAGAGUUGAAAGCCAGAUACGUGGUUCUUCUUAAUGUUCAUUUUUAUUUAGGAUGAGUUAUGCUAAGCAAAGCUGCAGGAGAAAGGAGCACUUGAGCAGUUACCUUUAUUUCUAGAUGUUUCCUUCAUCGUGAUUGAGCAUAUUUAAAAGGUUUUCAUAAAUCUAUCUUCUUACUUUUUCCUUGAACCAGGGUUAGCUUGAGGAUGUAGGAAGAAUUUGGAACUUAGAUACUAACUUACCUAGAUAGUAGGUAAGUAAGUGGAUACUCCUUUGCAAGCCAAGCAAUAUGGUAAUUGCCUCUGAUGUAUAAUUUCUCAGUACCCCCAUGGGGAACACUUUUUAUCUUCAGUUUUCAGGUUAGGAGAGAGGCCAAGAUGACUCCUCCAACUGUUCCAUGUUGAAGAUAGAAUUCAAACUUAGCCUGACUCCUUGGGCUCUGAAUCUCUACUUCCAAACUGGACCAAAGGGAACUUGAAGCAGGGCCACAAAGCUUCAAGUGGGUUGUUUAAAAAACAACAACAGAAAACCAAACCAGGGAGGAGAGGCUGGGAUGAUAAAAAGGCUUUUCCCAAAAGAAAUGGUCAGGAGUUCGAAUAACCUGCAGUGAGAUCAUCGAGGAAUGGCAUAUUUAAAAAGGCUGUGAGGGGGCCUAGAAAGAUUGUUCAAGAAUUAAGAGUGAGUGCUUGCUGCUCUUGAAGAGGAUCUGAAUUCAGUUCCCAGCACCCAAGUCAGGAGGCUUACAACUGCCUAUAACUAGCUCCAGAGGGUCUGAGGCUCUGACCUCCCUGGCACCUGCAUGCAUUAGCAUAUACCCCCACACAGAUGCACAAUUUCAAGACAGUGAGAGCCAGCCUUCUAGGGAGGAUUGCUGGCAGUUGGAGCACAGUCUGGCCUGCAACGAAGAACCCUGACUCCAGACACAGGAGGACAAUGGAGUGCUCAUGCUGGAAUGACGAUGACAUACUGCCCACUUGGUGGAUUGCUGUGCACCCAGAUGAGGCGGUACAAGUUUUGGAACACAUGUUUUGAGCAUGUAGAAAGUAUGUGAUGAGUGGUGGCUGUUACUGUUGCAAUGUAAUGCCUACUUUAUCUGGACUUUGACUAUCCACAAUUGUAACCUUCCUUUUUUUUUUUUUUUUUUUUUUUUUUUUUUUUUUUUUUUUUC